GGGCCUAUAGCUCAGCUGGUUUAGAGCGCACGCCUGAUAAGCGUGAGGUCGAUGGUUCGAGUCCAUUUAGGCCCA
rfam:Lactobacillus hayakitensis DSM 18933 = JCM 14209 strain DSM 18933 NODE_138, whole genome shotgun sequence.